rnacentral:rRNA from 1 species
AGUUUAUUUGAUGGUCUUUACUACAUGGAUAACCGUGGUAAUUCUAUGGCUAAUACAUGCGCACGUGCCUCUUCCUCUGGAAGGGCAGUGUUUAUUAGAUACAGAACCAACCCACCUUCUGGUGGUCCUCAGGUGAUUCAUAGUAACCGAACGGAUCGCGUUAUGGCUUCGGCCGGCGAUGGAUCAUUCAAGUUUCUGACCUAUCAGCUUUCGACGGUACUGUAUUGGACUACCGUGGCAGUGACGGGUAACGGGGAAUUAGGGUUCGAUUCCGGAGAGGGAGCCUGAGAAACCGCUACCACAUCUAAGGAAGG